rnacentral:rRNA from 1 species
UACGGAGGAUCCAAGCGUUAUCCGGAUUUAUUGGGUUUAAAGGGUGCGUAGGCGGCCUUGUAAGUCAGGGGUGAAAUCCGGCAGCUCAACUGUCGCAGUGCCUUUGAUACUGGAGAGCUCGAGGGAGGUAGGGGUCUGUGGAACUUCCGGUGGAGCGGUGAAAUGCGUUGAUAUCGGAAGGAACGCCGGUGGCGAAAGCGACGGACUGGAUCUCUUCUGACGCUGAGGCGCGAAAGCCAGGGGAGCAAACGGG